UGUGUUUUGCGCCUUCCUGUUAACUUUAAUAAUAAUGAUUAAUAAAUGUAAUCAGAUCAGAUCAUGUAAUUAUACAUUUAAACCAACAAGGACAAACAUAUUCGGUCUACAAUUAAAACGGACACGUUUAUUCACCCGACAAGCACAACAACGUGGUGUGAGUUAGUUAUCCACUCGGUGGUGACGUUUCAUUCAGAAGUGACGAUAAGUUAAAGCACCAGAAACAAGAAAUCUGACCGCUGUAAACAUCUGAAUUCAUCUACAGCCCUUCUGAGAGCAGCUACUUACAAACAGCAUGGAGGAACCAUGGAGAGCAUCCUAAGUAGCUGCAUCACUGUCCAGUUUGGGAAUUGCACUUCUUCUGACCGCAAGACUCUCCAGCGAGUAGUGAGGACAGCUGAAAAGGUCUUCGGGGUCUCUCUCCCAUCUCUCAUGGACAUUUUCAACAAACGCUGCGUCCGCAAAGCUCUCAGCAUCGUGGAGGAUCCAUCACAUCCGUCGUGUGGACUUUUUACUCUCCUGACGCCUGGGACAAGCAGGGAAAUGAAGAAGCUUUUGGGCUGCGUUCCUGUCCGCUAAUGGUACUCUGUCCUGAAGAUAAGAGGUGAAGGAUCUUUUGGUAACGCUCAUAUUGUGACGUGGUUUCUGCAAGUACAGUGACGGUGUAGGUUGUUUAUAUCUAGAAGACGUGAUUUGUAUUUUCAAUAAUAAAAUUUCUGUUCAUUGAAAAUGCUUUUGGAAAAAGCAUGUGGGCAAUCCUCUUUAUUGUUGUUGAGUAGAGGUGCUUCAACCACACCGAUUGCUUAAACGUUUAAAUAAUAACCCCUGUGCACAAACCAAGCAAAUGUUAAGGCUGCUGCUAGGUGGCCGCUGUGUGCUGUCAACUCUUCAUUACUUGGCUUUUGCAGUAUUUGGUCAUGAUUGUAAGUCACUUUAGAUAAAAGUGCACACUUGAUGCUAAAAAUGUCACUGUAAAUGGAAAUACGAGGUCUAUAAAGACAUAGAUUGAUACAUUUGGCAUGGAAAAACCUCCACUGGUCUCAGUUGAGAUCCAGGCCUAUUUGCCCAGCAUCAGGGUCUGAUCAUGUCAAUGCUCUUUGGGUGAGCACAAAUUCUUACAGACACACUUGAACAAUUUGUGUGGAGCCUUUCCCAAGGAGUGGAGGUUAUUUUACACACAAGAACAUGGGCAAGAACAUGGUUUUGGAAUGAGAUUUGAAAUCUGGUCCACAUUCUUUUGGCCAUCUUUAUUGGUGUACACUUUUUUUAUGCUGAUGUUUUUAGUGUCUGUUUACAAGCACAAAUAAAGUAUGUGAAUUGAAAUUUUA